CAGCAGCCGCGGGAAUACGGAGGGUGCAAGCGUUACUCGGAAUCACUGGGCGUAAAGGACGCGUAGGCGGAUUAUCAAGUCUCUUGUGAAAUCUAACGGCUUAACCGUUAAACUGCUUGGGAAACUGAUAAUCUAGAGUAAGGGAGAGGCAGAUGGAAUUCUUGGUGUAGGGGUAAAAUCCGUAGAUAUCAAGAAGAAUACCUAUUGCGAAGGCGAUCUGCUGGAACUUAACUGACGCUAGUGCGUGAAAGCGUGGGGAGCAAACAGGAUUAGAUACCCCAGUAGUCCCUGUCUCUUAUAC
rnacentral:rRNA from 1 species